UCACCUCUUCACCGCGUCCUCGGACCGCCCCAAGGACCCUGCCGCCGCUCCAGCGCCGCGCAGCCACCGCCGCUGCCGCCUGUCCUUAGCCUCCGCCAUGACGACCGCGUCCACCUCGCAGGUGCGCCAGAACUACCACCAGGACUCAAAGGCCGCCAUCAACCGCCAGAUCAACCUGGAGCUCUACGCUUCCUACGUUUGCCUGUCCAUGUCUUACUACUUUGACCGUUUUGAAGAUGAUGAUGAUGAUGAUGAUGAUGAUGAUGAUGAUGAUGUGGCUUUGAAGAACUUUGCCAAAUACUUUCCUCAUCAAUCUCAUGAGGAAAGGGAACAUGCCGAGAAACUGAUGAAGCUGCAGAACCAACGAGGUGGCCGAAUCUUCCUUCAGGAUAUUAACAAACCAGACUAUGACGACUGGGAGAGCGGGCUGAAUGCAAUGGAGUGUGCUUUACAUUUGGAAAAAAAUGUGCAUCAGUCACUACUGGAACUGCACAAACUGGCCACUGACAAAAAUGACCCCCAUUUGUGUGACUUCAUUGAGACACAUUACCUGAAUGAGCAGGUGAAAGCCAUCAAAGAAUUGGGUGACCACGUGACCAACUUGCGCAAGAUGGGAGUACCCGAAUCUGGCUUGGCAGAGUAUCUCUUUGACAAGCACACCCUGGGAGACAGUGAUAAUGAAAGCUAAGCCUCAGGCUAAUUUCCCCAUAGCCAUGGGGCAACUUCCCUGGUCACCAAGGCAGUGCAUGCAUGUUGGGGUUUUCUUUACCUUUUCUAUAAGUUGUACCAAAACAUCCACUUAAGUUCUUUGAUUUGUACCAUUCCUUCAAAUAAAGAAAUGUGGUACCCAAAAAAAGAAAAAAAAAGAAAAGAAA